rnacentral:lncRNA from 1 species
UUGUUAAUAAAAACAUUUAUUUUGCAUUUUAUACAGAACAACCUGAAGUCUGCAUCAUGACUUGACAGUUACCCAGAGGUUUACAGACAGUAUUAUCCAUCUCAACAGUGUGGUUCUGGGGAUUAGGGAUCCACACAAACAGGCAGGAGUUGCAAAGGAGGAAGGGGGCACAGCAGGAGUGUAUUUUAAUCCUUUCUUAAAAAGAAAAGAGCAUUCGGAGUCACUGGAAACCUGUGCACAUGGGGCUUCUACAACAAACACUGUACUGUGAGCUCUUGGGGAAAGGCAGGAUGAGGACCCUGAUAAAUAAAGGGUUAUUUGCUUACGGCAGAGGGUGAUGAGGGAGGUUUACUAGUUUUAACGCCCUCGGCCCUAGUACCUGAUAUUUGAAGGAGAUCAUGUCCAAUCUUAAAUCAUUUCCCUGUUCAGAAAGAGGUGCUAGUUAGUACCCCUGGGAUCAGGCCAUGAAAAUAUCAUGCUGGUCAUUCCCAAGAUCCUAUUCUAUAGCCCACAGCAUUUUAGGAAAAAAAAAAAGAAAAAAAAAGGUCAUAGGAUAGUGGUUUGUAUCCCAGGGAAAAGCUCAGUUCAUGUUAAGCACUGAUAAAGCCAAAUAACUGGCAAAGACCACAGAUCAGACACUGCUAUAUUAUACAACCUGCUGGAAGAGGUCUCUAACAGGGACUGAGGCGGAAGAUAUAGAGCAAUCUUGGCUUGAGGCGCAGCAGGUAUAGAAAACCUGGAAAGAAGUGAGUGUUCAAGUAGUGGGGAGUAGAACACUUCCAGAUCUUAAUUUUAAUAGGCUAAUUUAAAGAAGAGAAAUAAAAAAAUCAAACACUGGGUGCCAGUCACAACAAAUGCCACGACCUUUAUGAUCACCUGGUAGCAUUAAAAAAAAUAAUAAAAUUAAAAAUAAAAAAGCCAAAGCAACCAAUAUAGGUCUUGCCUAGGAAGUGUCUUGUGUGGAUGGGAGAGAUUAAUGGGGCUUGGUACAGCCAACAAUCCAACAUGAUUCCUAUGGAAAUAGAAGGGGCAGAGUCCUGUUUGCUGGCCUAAUAAGAGGUGGGCAGAGUAGAAAACCAAAAGCUCUGAAGUGACUGCAGAUUCUCUGCAACCAGCUUUGACCUAGGGAAAGAGGAGCCAGAUUCUUACUCUGGAAAUGGUGGGGGGAGUGGGGGCAGGCAAACCUAACCCAUACCACAUGCAUUAGUGCUGGUCAUUCUACAGUUGAUGAGCAACUCAAACCAGGCAGGGUAGAGGAGCUGGUUAAGGAAGAAGGGGUUACUUUUCAUCUCUUAAAAUCUUAAUUUAUAUAUUUUAACCUCAAACUUAUCAUCGAUGCCUUAGAUACAAUUUAAUCUUGUCUUUUAAAGCCCCCUGAAACAAAAAGGAUACUUUUUCUGAAGAUCCCUCACUUUCUGGUAGUUUCCUCCCAGUCUUCAGUUUCACCCUGACUUAGAGUCCACAAAUUUCAUCAGACCAUCUGUGCUCAUGGACUUGGGCCUCUCUAGAGGGAAGCCUAAGGCUCAGCUCCAGAUGAGCUAUGCUAAUACACCCAGUGCCCGUGAUACCCUGAACAGGACUGUGUAGUAGUUCAUCUCCGUCAUGCCAUAGUACUGUAAGCACCCCACUGUGAGCAUCCACAUUGGGCCAAGGAUUCUUGGCCUUGCCCUGCUCCAGGAGGACAUGGGGCACAAUCUCGUACAGCUGAGCAACCAGCUUAAACACGGGGUCAUGAGGCAGGCGUUUCAGAGCAAACUCUCUUUUGACAGGUAUCUUGUGGAUCAGUCUUCCUUAGUACUGCAUGGCCAUAGCCUGGGACAACCUGUCCUGAGUUGAGUGUGUUCCAGAUGUAGUCUCAUAACUUCUCAUCUGAUACAUCUUUGCCAACUUCUUUCUGUAGCUGUGUCAGCCAAACAAGCACUUCCUGAUUUGCCUGCCAGUCCAUGUAAGGGCCCUGUCAGCCCAUUCAUGGCUGCUGCAAAGGACAAGUAGGGGUCUGAAAAGGCACUGCCCACCAAAUGGCUGGUAUAAGCAUUUAGACUGCCACCUUCAUGGUCACUGUGGAUGGUGAGGUACAAGGGCAUGAGCUCCGUGAACUGAGCAUCAGUAUAGCCUAACAUGUUCGUGAAAUUGUGGGACCAGUCCAGCUUAGAAUCAAUGGCCCUAAUACUGCUGCCCUACCAGUAGAUUCCAGUAGAUCUUUGCUGCAACACAAGGUAGCUUUGUGAUCAGAUCCAUACAGUCUUCAUAAAUCAACUCCUAGUACUUAGUUCGGAGGACACCCCCUGCAUAUGCUCGGGCAAAGUUACUUUCACUGUUGAGGGCUGUAAUGGCUGCACUAAGCUGAGACAUGGGGUGUAGAUUCAUGGGAAAGUUGUCCAGCAGGUGACCACAUGGGAAGGCAGAGCUGCCCUCUUUGCCCACUCUUUUGAGAGGCAAGUCACCUACCCCUCUGUUGGGAUCUGUCCAAUUACCAGCAGCCAAAAGAAGCCCUCUGGCAGGGGUUCUUUCCCACCCUUAGCCUUGGGCAGCAGUUUCUGGCAUUCAGGGACACUGUAGCCUCAGAAACAGAUGCUCUCAUCAGGAUCAAGAACCAACGUUUCAUACACCAAUCCCUUCAUGCCUCUCACCAUACAUCAUGUCCACAGUGAUUUGGCCCACCACCAUCUUGCCAUGUUGACGCCUGAAAGUCUUAAUUCUGGUUUGCUCCUUAGGUAUCAGGUCAGCCAAAAUGCCUUUCAAGUUCGUGGAAGAAGCGCUGGCAUGCCAGGCAGCAAGAACAAUACAGGAUGCAUUCUUGGCUC